rnacentral:rRNA from 1 species
UACGUAGGGUGCAAGCGUUAAUCGGAAUUACUGGGCGUAAAGCGUGCGCAGGCGGUUUUGUAAGUCUGACGUGAAAGCCCCGGGCUUAACCUGGGAAUUGCGUUGGAGACUGCAAGGCUUGAAUCUGGCAGAGGGGGGUAGAAUUCCACGUGUAGCAGUGAAAUGCGUAGAGAUGUGGAGGAACACCGAUGGCGAAGGCAGCCCCCUGGGCCUGCACUGACGCUCAUGCACGAAAGCGUGGGGAGCAAACAGG